AUGCCGCGUGUGUGAAGAGGCCUGAGGGUUGUAAAGCACUUUCAGUGGGGAGGAGGAUAGCAUGGUUAAGAGCUGAGCUAUUGGACGUUACCUACAGAAGAAGCACCGGCUAACUCCGUGCCAGCAGCCGCGGUAAUACGGAGGGUGCGAGCGUUAAUCGGAAUUACUGGGCGUAAAGGGUGCGUAGGUGGUUAAAUAAGUUAGAUGUAAAAACCCUGGGCUUAACCUAGGACUGAGAUUUAAUACUGUUUAACUAGAGUAUGGGAGAGGGUAGUGGAAUUUCCGGUGUAGCGGUGAAAUGCGUAAAGAUCGGAAGGAACACCAGUGGCGAAGGCGGCUACCUGGCCUAAUACUGACACUGAGGCACGAAAGCGUGGGGAGCAAACAGGAUUAAAUACCCUGGUAGUCCACGCUGUAAACGAUGUCAACUAGCCGUUGG
rnacentral:rRNA from 1 species